UGCCUUUCCAUCGUGGAAAGAAUCUGGAGACAGGUGCUGCAUGGCUGUCGUCAGCUCGUGUCGUGAGAUGUUGGGUUAAGUCCCGCAACGAGCGCAACCCUUGCCUUUAGUUGCCAGCAGUUCGGCUGGGCACUCUAAAGGGACUGCCGGUGUUAAACCGGAGGAAGGUGGGGAUGACGUCAAGUCCUCAUGGCCUUUAUGACCAGGGCUACACACGUACUACAAUGGCCGAUACAAAGGGCAGCGACACUGCGAGGUGAAGCCAAUCCCGUAAAAUCGGUCUCAGUCCGGAUUGGAGUCUGCAACUCGACUCCAUGAAGUUGGAAUCGCUAGUAAUCGUGGAUCAGCAUGCCACGGUGAAUACGUUCCCGGGCCUU
rnacentral:rRNA from 1 species